UACGUAGGCGGUCAGGUAAGUCAGGUGUGAAAUCCCGGAGCUCAACUCCGGAACUGCAUCCGAUACUGCUUGACUUGAGUAAUGGAGAGGCAGGUGGAAUUCUCGGUGUAGCAGUGAAAUGCGUAGAUAUCGAGAGGAAGACCAAUGGCGAAAGCAGCCUGCUGGACAUUUACUGACGCUGAGGUACGAAGGCUAGGGUAGCGAAAG
rnacentral:rRNA from 1 species